UACGUAUGGUGCAAGCGUUAUCCGGAUUUACUGGGUGUAAAGGGGGCGUAGACGGAUAGGCAAGUCUGGAGUGAAAGCCCGGGGCUCAACCCCGGGACUGCUUUGGAAACUGUUUAUCUAGAGUGCUGGAGAGGUAAGUGGAAUUCCUAGUGUAGCGGUGAAAUGCGUAGAUAUUAGGAGGAACACCAGUGGCGAAGGCGGCUUACUGGACAGUAACUGACGUUGAGGCUCGAAAGCGUGGGGAGCAAACAGG
rnacentral:rRNA from 1 species